rfam:Felis catus isolate Cinnamon breed Abyssinian chromosome D3, whole genome shotgun sequence.
ACCUGGGUGGUUCAGUUGGUUAAGCAUCCGACUUCGGCUCGGGUCAUGAUUUCACGGUUUGUGGGUUCAAGCCCCACAUCAGGUU